rnacentral:lncRNA from 1 species
AAGUCAGAGUCUCCCAAAGAGCCUAAACAGCUGUGGAAGCUCCUCACUGGAGGGCCGACUGUGGAAUCUCGGCACUGGAGGGCUGAGCUUUGAAACAACUGAUGAGAACCUGAGAAGCCAAUCUGAGCGAUGGGGAACGCUCGUGGACUGUGUAGUCAUGAGAUCCAAGCACCAAGCACUCUGGGGCUUUGGGUUUGUCCUGUAUGCCGCUGUGAAGGAGGUGGAUGCGCCAUGAAUGCAAAGCCACACAAGGUGGAUGAAGAGUUGUGGAACCAAAGGGCUGUCUCGAGAAGAUUCUCAAAGACGAGGUGCCCAACUGUGAAAAAGAUAUUUGCUGGCGGCAUUAAAGAAGACAUUGAAGAACAUCGCCUAAGAGAUCUUGAACAGUAUGGAAAAACUGAAGUGACUGAAAUCAUGACUGACAGAGGUAGUGCCAAGAAAAGGGGCUAUGCCUUCGUGCCUCUGACAACCACGACGCUGUGGACAAGACUGUCACUCAGAAAUACCAUACUGUGAAUGGCCAAAACUGUGAAGUUAGGGAAGUCCUGUGAAAGCAAGAGAUGGCUAGUGCUUUAUCCAGCCAAAGAGGUCGAAGUGCUUCUGGAAACUUUGGUGGUGGUUGUGGAGGUGGUUUUGGUGGGAAUGACAACUUCGGUCAUGGAGGAAAUUUCAGUGGUCAUGAUGGCUUUGGUGGCAGCUGUCCACAGCGGUGGCGGUGGAUACAGUGGCAGCAGGGAUGGCUGUAAUGGAUUUGGUAAUGAUGGAAUCAAUUCUGGAGGUGGCAGAAGCUCCAAUGAUUUUGGCAAUUACAACAAUCAGCCUUCAAAUUUUGGACCCAUAAAGGGAGGAAACUUUGGAGGCAGAAGCUCUGGCCCUUAUGGUGGUGGAGAACAAUACUUUGCCA